rnacentral:rRNA from 2 species
UGGUAGUCCACGCCCUAAACGAUGUACACUAGUUGUUGGGGUGCUAGUCAUCUCAGUAAUGCAGCUAACGCAUUAAGUGUACCGCCUGGGGAGUACGGUCGCAAGAUUAAAACUCAAAGGAAUAGACGGGGACCCGCACAAGCGGUGGAGCAUGUGGUUUAAUUCGAAGAUACGCGAAGAACCUUACCUGGGCUUGAUAUCCUAAGAACCUUUUAGAGAUAAGAGGGUGCUAGCUUGCUAGAACUUAGAGACAGGUGCUGCACGGCUGUCGUCAGCUCGUGUCGUGAGAUGUUGGGUUAAGUCCCGCAACGAGCGCAACCCACGUAUUUAGUUGCUAACGGUUCGGCCGAGCACUCUAAAUAGACUGCCUUCGUAAGGAGGAGGAAGGUGUGGACGACGUCAAGUCAUCAUGGCCCUUAUGCCCAGGGCGACACACGUGCUACAAUGGCAUAUACAAUGAGACGCAAUACCGCGAGGUGGAGCAAAUCUAUAAAAUAUGUCCCAGUUCGGAUUGUUCUCUGCAACUCGAGAGCAUGAAGCCGGAAUCGCUAGUAAUCGUAGAUCAGCCAUGCUACGGUGAAUACGUUCCCGGGUCUUGUACUCACCGCCCGUCACACCAUGGGAGUUGAUUUCACUCGAAGCCGGAAUACUAAACUAGUUACCGUCCACAGUGGAAUCAGCGACUGGGGUGAAGUCGUAACAAGGUAACCGUAGGAGAACCUGCGGUUGGAUCACCUCCUUUCUA